GCUGAACGCUGGCGGCGUGCCUAAUACAUGCAAGUAGCGCGAAGCGGGGACGGGUGAGUAACACGUGGAUAACCUCCUAUAAGACUGGGAUAACUUCGGGAAACCGGAGCUAAACCGGAUACUUAUAAAUGGAUACACGCUACAUUAGCUAGUUGGUAAGGUAACGGCUUACCAAGGCAACGAUGCAUAGCCGACCUGAGAGGGUGAUAGGCCACACUCGACCAGAGCCACGCUCCAGACUCAUACGGCAGACAGCAGUAGGGAAUCUUCCGCAAUGGGCGCAAGCCUGACGGAGCGAUGCCGCGUGUAUGUGGUAGGUCUUAGGAUCGUAGAACUCUGGUAUUAGGGAAGCGGUACCUAAACAUAAAGCCACGGCUAACUCCGGGCCAGCCGCCGCGGUAAUAC
rnacentral:rRNA from 1 species